UACGAAGGAUUCGAGCGCUAUCCGGAUUUAUUGGGUUUAAAGGGUGCGUAGGUGGACUAAUAAGUCAGUGGUGAAAGCCCGCAGCUUAACUGCGGAACUGCCAUUGAUACUGUUAGUCUUGAGUACAGUUGAGGUGGGCGGAAUGUGUCAUGUAGCGGUGAAAUGCUUAGAUAUGACACAGAACACCGAUUGCGAAGGCAGCUCACUAAGCUGUAACUGACACUGAGGCACGAAAGCGUGGGGAGCAAACAGG
rnacentral:rRNA from 1 species